rnacentral:rRNA from 1 species
AGUGAACGCUGGCGGUAGGCCUAACACAUGCAAGUCGAACGGCAGCACAGUAAGAGCUUGCUCUUACGGGUGGCGAGUGGCGGACGGGUGAGGAAUACAUCGGAAUCUACUUUUUCGUGGGGGAUAACGUAGGGAAACUUACGCUAAUACCGCAUACGACCUACGGGUGAAAGCAGGGGAUCUUCGGACCUUGCGCGAUUGAAUGAGCCGAUGUCGGAUUGGCUAGUUGGCGGGGUAAAGGCCCACCAAGGCGACGAUCCGUAGCUGGUCUGAGAGGAUGAUCAGCCACACUGGAACUGAGACACGGUCCAGACUCCCACGGGAGGCAGCAGUGGGGAAUAUUGGACAAUGGGCGCAAGCCUGAUCCAGCCAUACCGCGUGGGUGAAGAAGGCCUUCGGGUUGUAAAGCCCUUUUGUUGGGAAAGAAAAGCAGCAGGUUAAUACCCCGCUGUUCUGACGGUACCCAAAGAAUAAGCACCGGCUAACUUCGUG